AGAGUUUGAUCCUGGCUCAGAUUGAACGCUGGCGGAAUGCUUUACACAUGCAAGUCGAACGGCAGCACGGGGGCAACCCUGGUGGCGAGUGGCGAACGGGUGAGUAAUACAUCGGAACGUGCCCAGUAAUGGGGGAUAACCAUCCGAAAGGAUGGCUAAUACCGCAUACGCCCUGAGGGGGAAAGCGGGGGACCGCAAGGCCUCGCGUUAUUGGAGCGGCCGAUGUCGGAUUAGCUAGUUGGUGGGGUAAAGGCCUACCAAGGCGACGAUCCGUAGCUGGUCUGAGAGGAUGAUCAGCCACACUGGGACUGAGACACGGCCCAGACUCCUACGGGAGGCAGCAGUGGGGAAUUUUGGACAAUGGGGGCAACCCUGAUCCAGCCAUUCCGCGUGAGUGAAGAAGGCCUUCGGG
rnacentral:rRNA from 1 species